rnacentral:tRNA from 3 species
GUCCCGGUAGUUCAAUGGAUAGAACGGGCCCGUCCUAAGGGUUAGAUGGGGGUUCGAUUCCCUCUCGGGACA